rnacentral:rRNA from 1 species
GACGAACGCUGGCGGCGUGCUUAACACAUGCAAGUCGAACGGAAAGGCCCUGCUUUUGUGGGGUGCUCGAGUGGCGAACGGGUGAGUAACACGUGAGUAACCUGCCCUUGACUUUGGGAUAACUUCAGGAAACUGGGGCUAAUACCGGAUAGGAGCUCCUGCUGCAUGGUGGGGGUUGGAAAGUUUCGGCGGUUGGGGAUGGACUCGCGGCUUAUCAGCUUGUUGGUGGGGUAGUGGCUUACCAAGGAUUUGACGGGUAGCCGGCCUGUGAGGGUGACCGGCCACAUUGGGACUGAGAUACGGCCCAGACUCCUACGGGAGGCAGCAGUGGGGAAUAUUGCACAAUGGGCGGAAGCCUGAUGCAGCAACGCCGCGUGCGGGAUGACGGCCUUCGGGUUGUAAACCGCUUUCGCCUGUGACGAAGCGUGAGUGACGGUAAUGAGUAAAGAAGCACCGGCUAACUACGUG